rnacentral:sRNA from 1 species
CUGCGUAAGGGAUUGCAGUGGCAUCCUUUUUUAGUUAUCAUACUGAGCUUGUCUAAGUAGACAACUAAAAAAGAUAUAACGAAAAGCCCGACCCACC